UCUAAGUUUGUAUGGCGACCGGCGCACGGGUGAGUAACACGUAUCCAACCUGCCGAUAACUCGGGGAUAGCCUUUCGAAAGAAAGAUUAAUACCCGAUGGCAUAAUAGAACCGCAUGGUUUGAUUAUUAAAGAAUUUCGGUUAUCGAUGGGGAUGCGUUCCAUUAGGCAGUUGGUGGGGUAACGGCCCACCAAGCCUUCGAUGGAUAGGGGUUCUGAGAGGAAGGUCCCCCACAUUGGAACUGAGACACGGUCCAAACUCCUACGGGAGGCAGCAUG
rnacentral:rRNA from 1 species